rnacentral:rRNA from 1 species
AUACGUAGGGGGCGUAGCGUUAUCCGGAAUGACUGGGCGUAAAGGGCGCGUAGACGGUUGUCUAAGUCUGGAGUGAAAGUCCUGCUUUUAAGGUGGGAAUUGCUUUGGAGACUGGAUGACUUGAGUGCGGAAGAGGUAAGUGGAAUUCCCAGUGUAGCGGUGAAAUGCGUAGAGAUUGGGAAGAACACCAGUGGCGAAGGCGACUUACUGGGCCGUAACUGACGUUGAUGCGCGAAAGCGUGGGGAGC